AAGUUUCACUGCAAUUAUUCUCUUACGCUUCUCUUCACGUUACAUAAACAUACACGUACCGUGUGUGGCUAAAAGGGUUGCCUACUGUUUCAUUGUCCAGAGUUACUAUCAUUUGACAAAGGAAUUUCAUGAGUUUGUUUAUUGACACGUAGACUGUAUGAUGAUAAUUUGCAGUGUUUCUAAGUGAGGGUGACGGCACUAGAUGUGUCGCAAAUGAUUUAACAAUUGCAGGAUUUAUGAGGAUCCGUAAAGGCAACAUACGUAGCUGAAACCUGAUUGGAUUAAUGCACGUCUAUCAAGUCCCUUUUCUACACAGCAGCCAAUCAACAUGGGAGAAAGACAAGCCAAAAACGCAUGAUGUCAUGCCCUCUUUAAAAAAUGGGAAAGAAAAGAAAAACACACUAACGCAAGGCCAGUCAGUUAUUUAAGUGGAUCAUUAAACAUCUGUAUUGGUGGCAGACCACACUCUCCAUUUCAGUGAGUUAGGAAAGUUGCCAAGUUUGUUGGCACAGCUCGGUCAACGGUCUGGGAAGUCCAGCUAUGCCACAACAAUGACCUUUAAUGAAGUCUUAAAAAGAUUACACUAACAUCACAAAAGUUACUCACAAUGAAAAUAAGAUAUAUUUGCCAGUUGUCUGUUGACCUGGGGGAGGGGUAUUGUUAAAAAGCCUAUCACAUUAAUACAAAUGAGAUAAGAUGAAAUAUCUUAAUUAGAUCAACUUUUGAGUAGACCAUACACCGUAAUAAGAGUUACUGAAAUCAUAGAAUAGGAUCGGGCAUUAAUGUAUGCAAAACAAAAGCAUAAGUAGAUUAUAAUACAAUAUGUUUGUUAACAUUUUAUCAUAGUGACAGGACAAGUAAUUCAAGAAGAAUAUCCCUAAGAAUAUCUAUGUUUGCUGAGUGCAUUGAUGCUAACUGUCCUUACAGCAACAUUAUUCAGCCGUUUUACCUCAAAAUCAUUUUGGAGGUAUGGUUACCCAUAUUAUGCUAAUGGUGUCUCAGUCACAGCCUCCCUGCCCCUCUUUCACUUGCUCCUGCACCGUGUAAAUUCCGUGAGAGGGUAGGGCUAUAGUGUUGCGUACAUGUUAAUUUCAAGAUAAAGGUUUUCAACACAUAACAUUGUUAUGACAUAAUGAUUUGAGUGUGAAGUUUAAAUCCAAUCAAAUACAUUAUAUUAAUGUAGCCCAAAACCACAAUCACACUGCCUUAGUGGGCUUUACAGUCUGUACAAUGAACAACAUCCUCUGUCCUAUAUGACAUGUGCUGGUUGAGUUAUAGAUGGUUUGAGGUUGAAACUGGGCUUUAAUACACUUCACUGCAUCAGGAAUUAAUCAAUAAAGGUAUCAAACUUGUAAACUGUACACCUCUUUAUCAUGAUCUUAUUGGAUAAUUUCACACAAAAUGAAAAUCCGGGUAUAAUCUAUUCACCCUUAUGCUGACAGAAAGUCUGGUGGAGAUUUGUAGUCCACAAAACAUUUCUAGAGCUUCACAGCAAAACAAUGUUGCAGUAAUUUUCUGAACAGCUGAAGUACGUGGGAAAUGGUACUAAAGGUGGUACUAAAAUUAAAAAAAAACCAAACAAAACAAACAAACAAAAAACAAACAUAAAAUGACUCCAUGACUCCAUCUGCUGCAUCUAAGUCUCAGGCAGCCCAUAGAUGCCAAAGCGGAAAUCUUGACUGUAGCUGUGAAGAUCAAAGUAACAAUAACAGCAUAAUUUAAAGUUAGACUCCACCAAUUUCUCACAUUAACGUGUAUUUACAGGUCUUGGGGAGUACUACUUAAUAUGUUAAAAAAGUAAUUCAAAGCCUUUAGUUGCAGAGGAAGCUGCAUGUAAUCUGAUAAAUUGCCUCUAGUGCUAAAUUGCAUUGUGGAUAAUGUAGGAACCAGGUUUUUAAAAAAGGUGGAAGGACAUGUGGAAUAAAAAAGAUGAUAUAUCUUGUUCUGCAGUGUUGAUUGUGAUCAUCUGGGCAUAUGUCCACAAUCCUUCCACCAGCUUUCCCUAAUGCAAACCACCGAUUUUCAAAUCCUGGCACGUACAUAACCCACAUGCAGUGGCAUGAACACACUUUAAUAUGGAGCGCUGUAUAUAUUAAGUGCAGUGUGCUGUGUUUCUGGUAUUGUUAUGCAUUACGCUUUUAAAGUAAGCAUCAUACACGUUAUUGAUUUAUAAGAGGAAUGGAUAAAAAAUGCACAUAAUUAAACAAGAGAGGAGUCAAACUUAAGCGCACUCGCACACACUGUAAAAACCCAUAGGACGUACACAGACUACACCAUAUUAUACUAUUAUACAUGAUACUGAUCUAACUUUAAUCUAACUGAAGGCUAUAGAAUAUUAUAGACCCAUGCAUGAUUUAUGUAGCAGCAUGCUAAUUGAGUUGGUUGCAAUAUGAAGCUCUGUAAGACGAGACGAUUAUAAAACAAGAAUUGGAUUAAUCCAGCAGCCGAAUGGUAGUUCGACUGAAGCGGCCUUCCUCUGCAGGAGCGCGCAUCCUCGAGCCUGGCGAGAAUGGUCCUGAUGCUGGGACUCGUGCACGCGCAUUACAUCACUUCUCUCCCGCAUGAUUGGCUGGAGGUCAACCGGUCCGCUUGCCAUGCAGCUCCACUGCGAGCUUCAGCAUCACGAAGCAAGCAGCAGCGGUGUUCCAAAACAUCACCACCGCCAUCACCAUCACCACCAUCUUCAUCGUCAUUACCUCUGAUCACGAUACCAAGCUGUUCGCGUGGCUGUGCGCGUUUUCUUGUCCUUGCGCUGGCGACUUGUUUCGAGGAUGGCCGAGAGCGAGGCAGACACGCCGAGCACGCCGAUUGAGUUUGAGAGCAAAUACUUCGAGUUUGAUGGAGUGCGGCUGCCGCCCUUCUGCAGGGGGAAGAUGGAGGAGAUCGCCAACUUCUCGCUCAGAAGUAGCGACAUAUGGAUUGUCACCUACCCGAAGUCAGGCACCAGCUUACUUCAGGAGAUCGUGUAUCUCGUGAGUCAGGGGGCAGACCCUGAUGAGAUUGGCCUCAUGAACAUCGAUGAACAGCUGCCUGUCUUAGAGUAUCCCCAACCUGGGCUGGACAUCAUACAGGAGUUGACGUCCCCUCGUCUGAUCAAAAGCCAUCUUCCCUAUCGAUUCCUCCCCACAGCCAUGCACAAUGGAGAGGCCAAGGUGAUCUAUAUGGCUCGUAACCCUAAAGACCUGGUAGUUUCCUACUACCAGUUCCACCGCUCUCUCAGGACCAUGAGCUACCGGGGAACCUUCCAGGAGUUCUGCCGGCGCUUUAUGAAUGACAAGCUGGGAUAUGGUUCCUGGUUUGAACAUGUUCAGGAAUUCUGGGAACAUCGUAUGGACUCCAAUGUCCUCUUCUUGAAGUAUGAAGACAUGUACAAGGAUUCAGGUACGUUUGUGGAACAGUUAGCCCGUUUCCUGGGUGUUUCGUGUGACAAGUCUCAGCUGGAGGGUAUGGUGGAGAGCUGUAAUCAGCUCAUCGAGCAGUGCAGCAACACAGAGGCGCUGUCCAUCUGCAGGGGUGAGUGGAAGAGGAUGAAUACAACAUUCCUCUGGUCUGCUAAUACAUGGAAGUCUGAUGUCUGGUCUGCUAUAGGCUUAACACACAGCUGACUGUCAGUCUGAUCUGUCUCACACACACCGCAGCAGAGCAUGGACCCUUCCAAGAAUUCCCUCUCACAGCAGAGCAUCUGGUUAAGUGCGACCAAUGGUUAUGCCGGGAAGGUCCCCAAAGCAAAUGAUCCAAGACAGGAGCAGACUCGAUUUUGGUUGGCAUUUAAGUAAUGUUACGCAUGCAAAAUGGGGUGCUGCCCACCCACUCCUUAUUUCGGGGAACCAAAUGGCUGAGUCUGUACCUCACUUGAAAGUGUCGUGUGGGUCUGUGGCAGGACAUCUUCACAGUGUCCAUGAAUGACAAGUUCGACACAAUUUACAGACAGAAGAUGGGCAAGUCUGACCUGACCUUUGACUUCUGCCUGUGAGUGGCACCCACCCCCAGCAUCGUCUUUCUACUCUACACCCCACUGAUCUACUUCAGUACGGUUGACAAGUGCACACUUCCUGCCAAAGCCCACGCUACUACAUCGCCAUUCAGUCAAUCAGUCUGAAGUUUACGGUUCAGUAAGAUAGUAGGAGUUCACCACAAGACUUUUCCCAGAAUGCGAUCCGUCUCAAAUCAACAAGUCAUCACCAACCCACCUUUGUGGACUGAUCAAAACAAAUCCAGAUUUAUUGGGAAAUCAAUGAAAUUUCUCAAUCAAUAGUAAACCAACCUCCUUCAACCCCUACCUCCACGGUAUGUUCCCACUGCUGUGUAUGUAUAUGUGUAAAUACAAACAAGGGUUUGACCGAUGUAGGUUUUUUAGGGGCUAAUACCAAUACCUUUGAGCUAAAGUAUUGGUCAACAUUUAUAUUCAAAACAUAUGAAGAUAUUUGUGACUGAAAUACACCAAAAAUAAAAAAAUAAAAAAAUGAAUGACAAUGA